rnacentral:rRNA from 1 species
GAUGAACGCUGGCGGCGUGCCUAAUACAUGCAAGUCGAGCGAACAGACGAGGAGCUUGCUCCUCUGACGUUAGCGGCGGACGGGUGAGUAACACGUGGAUAACCUACCUAUAAGACUGGGAUAACUUCGGGAAACCGGAGCUAAUACCGGAUAAUAUAUUGAACCGCAUGGUUCAAUAGUGAAAGACGGUUUUGCUGUCACUUAUAGAUGGAUCCGCGCCGCAUUAUCUAGUUGGUAAGGUAACGGCUUACCAAGGCAACGAUGCGUAGCCGACCUGAGAGGGUGAUCGGCCACACUGGAACUGAGACACGGUCCAGACUCCUACGGGAGGCAGCGGUAGGGAAUCUUCCGCAAUGGGCGAAAGCCUGACGGAGCAACGCCGCGUGAGUGAUGAAGGUCUUCGGAUCGUAAAACUCUGUUAUUAGGGAAGAACAAAUGUGUAAGUAACUAUGCACGUCUUGACGGUACCUAAUCAGAAAGCCACGGCUAACUACGUG